GUGCCGUGAUGAAGUCCUUAGAACUAUGCUAGUGUAUAAAGAAAGGAUUUAUCAUAUAGUUCUUAAAUAUGUUUGCAAUCAAAUGAUAUGUCAUUACAGGAUAAUGACGUUUAUCGAGUGGAGGUCAUUUGUGCCAUAUGGGUUGGUUGUCCUCUUAAUGAUGGAGUGUGGUGACACUGGUAUGGCAUACAGAUGAGAUAUAGAGGUACAUCAUCACUGAA
rnacentral:lncRNA from 1 species